CGUGUGCUAUUCUGAUCUGUUGGUGUCUUUGGGAAAUCAUCAGUUGUUGUGCCCUGUUGUUGUAUAAUAUGGAUGACUGGUGGGCACUCAUUAGAAUAAUACCUUCUAAUAUUUCUCUCAGAAACAUAUGCUAGUUUAUGAUUUGUUUCUGAGGUUGGAGGGAUGUUAAUCUGAGUAUUCCAUUGUUGC